GCCCUUCAGCAGCCGCGGUAAUACAGAGGGUGCAAGCGUUAAUCGGAUUUACUGGGCGUAAAGCGCGCGUAGGCGGCCAAUUAAGUCAAAUGUGAAAUCCCCGAGCUUAACUUGGGAAUUGCAUUCGAUACUGGUUGGCUAGAGUGUGGGAGAGGAUGGUAGAAUUCCAGGUGUAGCGGUGAAAUGCGUAGAGAUCUGGAGGAAUACCGAUGGCGAAGGCAGCCAUCUGGCCUAACACUGACGCUGAGGUGCGAAAGCAUGGGGAGCAAACAGGAUUAGAUACCCUGGUAGUCCAUGCCGUAAACGAUGUCUACUAGCCGUUGGGGCCUUUGAGGCUUUAGUGGCGCAGCUAACGCGAUAAGUAGACCGCCUGGGGAGUACGGUCGCAAGACUAAAACUCAAAGGAAUUGACGGA
rnacentral:rRNA from 1 species